UACGGGGGGGCAAGCGUUGUUCGGAAUUACUGGGCGUAAAGGGCUCGUAGGUGGCCAACUAAGUCGGACGUGAAAUCCCUCGGCUUAACCGGGGAACUGCGUCCGAUACUGGUUGGCUUGAGUUUGGGAGAGGGUAGUGGAAUUCCCGGUGUAGUGGUGAAAUGCGUAGAUAUCAGGAGGAACGACCGGUGGCGAAGGCGGCUGACUGGUCCGGUUCUGGACGCUGAGGCGCGAAAGCGUGGGGAGCAAACAGG
rnacentral:rRNA from 1 species